rnacentral:rRNA from 1 species
AGUGAACGCUGGCGGUAGGCCUAACACAUGCAAGUCGAACGGCAGCACAGUAAGAGCUUGCUCUUACGGGUGACGAGUGGCGGACGGGUGAGGAAUACAUCGGAAUCUACUUUUUCGUGGGGGAUAACGUAGGGAAACUUACGCUAAUACCGCAUACGACCUACGGGUGAAAGCAGGGGAUCUUCGGACCUUGCGCGAUUGAAUGAGCCGAUGUCGGAUUAGCUAGUUGGCGGGGUAAAGGCCCACCAAGGCGACGAUCCGUAGCUGGUCUGAGAGGAUGAUCAGCCACACUGGAACUGAGGCACGGUCCAGACUCCUACGGGAGGCAGCAGUGGGGAAUAUUGGACAAUGGGCGCAAGCCUGAUCCAGCCAUACCGCGUGGGUGAAGAAGGCCUUCGGGUUGUAAAGCCCUUUUGUUGGGAAAGAAAAGCAGCAGGUUAAUACCCCGCUGUUCUGACGGUACCCAAAGAAUAAGCACCGGCUAACUUCGUG